GACGAACGCUGGCGGCGUGCUUAACACAUGCAAGUCGAACGGAAAGGCCCUGCUUUUGUGGGGUGCUCGAUUGGCGAACGGGUGAGUAAAACGUGUGUAACCCGCCCUUGACUGUGGGGGAACUUCAGGAAAAUGGGGCUAAUAUCGGGUAGAAUCUCCUGCUGCACGGUGUGGGUUGGAAAGUUUCGGCGGUUGGGGCUGGACUCGCGGCUUAUCAGCUUGUUGGUGGGGUAGUGGCGUUCCAGGGCUUUGAAGGGUAGCCGGCCUGAGAGGGUGACCGGCCACAUUGGGCCUGAGGUACGGCCCAGUCUCCUACGGGCGGCAGCGGUGGGGAGUCUUGCGCAAUGGGCGGACGCCUGAUGCAGCAACGCCGCGUGCGGGAUGCCGGCCUUCGGGUUGUAAACCGCUUUCGCCUGUGACGAAGCGUGAUUGACGGUAAUGGAUAAAGAAGCCCCGGCUAACUACGUG
rnacentral:rRNA from 1 species